CUGAGACAUGUAAUAGAAAAAUGUGAAAUAACGGAAGAACCAAAGGACAUAGGAAAAACGCUAAAUGAGAUUGGAGAAGGGCAAACGACAGGAAGGAUGCACAGCAAGGAGGCUAAAGCCCAAAGUUGCAAUAGUUUUUAGUCAUUAGUUGUUAAUUUGUAGUUUCUAGUUUUAGUUUUUAGAGAUAGAAUAAUUAAGGGAGUGCAACAGAAUAGAGUGGAAAAGAGGGGAGGUAGACAUAUAAGAAGAAAAAUAGACAUAAGAGAUGUAAAACCGAAAGUUCGUCCAAAGCCGAA
rnacentral:misc_RNA from 1 species